rnacentral:lncRNA from 1 species
GAAAUCAACAUCUCAUUUAAUGGUGAACUUUUUAUGCUAUCCCCUCCUCUCUCUUUCUUUUCUUCAACCCUCCAGCUCUUUUUCACUCCUUUCUCUCAUUCUCACUUCCUCAGUUCCUCCUCUUUUUGACUGUCUCUGUGUCUUACCAUUCUUUCCAUCAUUUUACUCUUUUCUCCAUUUCCUUCACCUCUUUUCCAUUUAAUCUGCAAUCUAUGCGAUGUUGUCUUUUUAUCAUUCAUUUUACCAAAAACUAUAUCAGAUGGUGGACGGCAUGAAUGCUCCUUAAUAAUGAAACCAAAGACUUUAGAGCUCCUCCUGGUGACUGUUUGUGGUAUAGGUCAUAAAGCCUGCCUGCUCCAUGUAGACAGGUGCUACUCAGGUUUAGGGGGCGCUCAUACCAAGCAUGAGUACAAUCAUAUACUCGCUUUAUUCACGCAAAUCUAGAUGCGCAAAUGAAUAGUAUUUACUAGCUUCAUUUGUGUGUGCACCCACACACUGACGUGAUCAGUUUGUCCUCCAUUUUCAAAUCCAGUGAACAGUCUGUUUGUCUGUUUUCAUACGUCACCAAGCAACCUUCGUGCUAAGUAGUUAUUGUUAUGCGAAUAUCCACUCAAGUUGACAUUUGCGUCAUUCGCGCCGCCAGAGUCAUAGGAGCGUCUUUGCAUUGACUUAACAUGUAAUUCAUUCCUGUGAAUGUUUUUACUCAUGCUGUGUAGAGACAGUAACUUUAAAAAUUCAAAAUACAUGUCAGAAUAAUUUUGUCUCCAACAUGACUCAUGCCAUACUGGUCUGAAUCAAGUGCAAGUUUCCAAUUUUCAAAGAAUUCGGGUUUAAUUAGUUGUUUAACCUUAAAAAGGGGGGAGAAAGUGACGUCAUGAUUAACAGUUCUGCUGAAAAGUGUGGCUUCCUAAAAUAAACUAUAUUACCGUGGCAACCAUCUUGUGAUGAUGUCAUGCUCAUGGUAAGAAACUUAAUCAUUGUUAUUAUGUAUUAUUACUGUCUUUCAGGUGAAAAAUUCAGACAAAUUACAGCUAUUUUACAUCUUCCAGAUUGAUAUGUAGGCACAACAUAUUUGACAGCCUGUUAACUACCUCAAAGUCAACAUUCUGAAAGUAGUAAAUGUUUGCACAAUAUCUGUUUCUUUUUUUACUGAAAUGUUGGCUGAAUGCUAAUAUGAGCUGUAAACCAACAGGCAGUCAAAUAGGCAUGUUUUUAAGUUAAAAUAUGGCCCUAUAUCUACAGUAUAGUCUUUGUAGCUGCUUAACAAUCAGUGAGCGGUGAAAUGACCCGAGUGUGUCAUGAAUUAUACGGUUUAUGACCUGCAGGACAGUAAUACUAGCAUUCCCUGGCCUCGGCAUGCUGUCACAGUAAGAUGGCCACCAUGGGAACAUUGUCUUAAACAAGAACAAACGUGGCCCCCCCAAAAUGACUCAUACAUGUCUGUGUACCAUCGAUGAUGUUUUCUUCUUGGUUAUACGCUAUACCAUGCUUGCCCUUUUCAAAAUCAUCAUCUCUUUAAGCACAAGCUCUCUAUCCUGUGAUAAACUAUGACCCCUUUUACUGUGAUAAGAUUGUGAGAGAUGAGAAAAAAAGAUUUACAGGGUAUGCAGAGUUUAAGAAGGAUGCAGAUGAUAAGGAAGAUGGGGAGUGUGAAAGACAGAGUUUAGGUUUCUUGAUGUGAAAGGAGGGUAAAAAAAAGAAAACAGUGAAUAAGAGUUCAUAGAAAAAAGGGGCGUAAAUGUAGAAAGUUCAAUAUGCUAACGUCGAGUGACUGUGUGAUAAAUAAUGGCAGGAAGAGGGGGAUCAGGAUGAUAAAUAAUGAUCCAGUCUGAGAGAGAAAAGGACAACAAUCAGUGUAAUUAAUGAAGGGAGAAGAGAGGGAGAAAGAGAGGGAGGGAGGAGAUGGCGCACAAAUAAAGAGCAGAUAAAUCACACUAAACAGAGGAAACUAGGAGGAUGGGGAGAGCAGAGUCAUCGGAGAAUAACCUCCAGUGAGUGCAGUAUUGACUUCCGACAACAACAUGUUCACGCAUCUGGAUUUGAACAGUAAGAAUAAAUGUUAUCACCAUGAAACAUCCCUGAAGCUGAAACAUAGCAUUCUGCUUCCAGAGUCAGUGUUUUCCUCCAAAGCUGCUGCUGUUUUAACUGUAAGGAUGUGUCAUUUUUAUAACAGUUAUCGCCUGCAAUGAAAAAGACUUGACUGGUUGACCUUUACAGUCCAGUUCCUUUUAACAAAGAGCUUGUUAAUGAGGUGGGUUUGAGGAGUCUGUUCACACAAAAGCAAUAAUAUGAUAAUCCUCAUUAAACUGAAGUGUCCAAUGACAGAAAAUACUGAAGCGUUCGCAGAGGAAUUACUCUCUAAUGAAAGAAACAAAAAUGUAAACGUUGCUGGCAGGGAGGUUAUUGGCUGGUCCAGACUAAUCAGGACAUUGUGAGUGGAAACACAGACAGCUGUUAAUUUAUUGUAAUCACUCUUAAUUUGAUUUUUAAAUCUUAAUAGCACUUCAAAACAAAAGUUCAUUUACUAAAAUUAUGUCCCAGUGGAGAAAAAUAGAAAACAAUUAAGGGUAAAAACUAAACAGCUUUAUUUUGUAAAGAAGUUUAAUUAUGCAAAUAAAUCCAUGUACCCCCUUUCUUUUCUCAUGGAAGUAAAAACUUUUUAUUAUAUUUAUUAUUAGGCAAAAUGUAAGUAAAAUCGGAGGUAAACAAAAGUCUUUAUACUGGAUGUUUUGUACCGAACAUUAGUCUAGUCAUGAGUAUGCUGAAAAAAAAAAUCCAUUGACCUUUAUUUUGAGGUGUAAAAAACAUUUAAUUAUGCAAAUUACUGUUGGAGUAAAGAAACAGAUUGCUGCUUAUUUCAACAAAAAAACAUUUUGCUUGAUGAGCUCUCAAAUAAAUUCUCUUUAUCUUUAUAUUUUCCCAGGGGAAUCUCAGAAUAACAGUACUGUAUAAAGGAGAAAAAAAAAACAGAUGGCCCAAUGCUAUUAUAGAAUUAUUUUCAAAUGUUACAAGCAGCAAUUACAAGAAACAAACAAAAACAAAACACUUAAAAUAUGGAAGAAAUUGAGGAAAAAUAAAUGGAUGUUUAUGGUUUAUAAAACCUCCCCGAAGUGCACUUAUGAUAAAACUCUGUUAACUUUCAUUUGCUCUCAUUCAGUGAAGGCAAAGUCUUCUAGUAUGUUGAGAGUAAAUCUGUUGGCUUAUAUAUGUUUGAUAUGGUAGCCUGUGCGUGUCUCUAUAGAGCUUCAAAUAAGUUCCCUUGACCUCCAUUGUUUAAAGAGAAUACAAAAAUUAAAAGAAAAAAACAGAUGAAUUAGUAUAUUAUGGUGUUUUUUCUGUGUUAAGAACAACUCAAAAAACAAGUGUAGAAAAGUUAAGUUUAGAAAUAUAUGCUUUGUGAAGCACUUCAACAAAAUUCCAUUUACCUCCAUUAUUCUCCAUUAAGUGUAAUAUCUUCGAAAAUAUUUCCUGAAAGAAUAAAAUGGAAAUAUAUUCUUUGAUAAAGGAAAUUUCUCCAAGGGUUCAGAGCCCUAAAGAAAUAAAUCUGUUUACUUCCAUUAUUUUCCACUUUGAGAAAAGUCUUAGAAAAUGAAUUAUUCUGUGAGUUUUCUAAAGUCAUUUCUCAAUGUUAUAAGCCCCUCAACAGAGUUGUACUGACUUUCAAGCAAAACUUGGGAAUAUGAUUUUGGAAAAACAGAUGGGAUUACUAAUUUCAUUUAAUUUAUCUCAUUUGUUUCUUGUUUAUGUAUCUAUCUAAUUUCAUUCUCCUCCAUUAUUUCUGAAUCGUGGCAAAAUCGCAGAAUACUAGCAAGAGAAACAAAAAAUAAUAAAUGCCUUCUAGAGAGUCUGUGCUGUGGUCGCCUCAACACAAAAAAGGUUCCAUUUACCUUCAUUACUUGGGUAUGGAUUUAAAAUCUCUGGGGCAAAUAUCAUAAACCAAAAACAUUCUGUCCUUUUCUUCUCAUGCUCUCUCCCACCUAAAUCCUCCUCAGUCCCUCAGCAGAUUUAUGUUUUGCCACUGUGAUAACGGCAUCUUUAGGCCUUUAAGAAUAUUGGGCAGUAUAAUUUUAUUCCUGGGCUGUUAAAUAUGAGUGAGAGAGCUUGUCAUGCCAUAAUAACUUGCUUGAAGACAGAAAGGAAAUGAACAUUUUGCAGACCAGUGGCCCUUUGGAGUUUUCCUAAGCAUGAAAUGAACAGUGUGAUUGAGAAGACAUGAUUUUAUGGCUUAUUGGACUUCACACAUACAAGAGCGGAUAUGAGUGUGUCACAGUCUUGUAGUUUUUUUUGGGACACAUAAAGAAACUUUGAAAGAAAAUUAGAAGUGAUAGCAAAAAUAUGCUUCAUGGUGCAUUCAGAAGUAUCAACUCUGUGACAUGUUUGUCUGUCUUGUAUUUUUGAUCGUGUCUUUUAUGUAUUUAUUGAGCAGCUUGGAACAUUUACUGAAAUGGACCUGUAAAUCACUCUCACUUGUAGAUAGAAAUGAGAGCAGCAUUUAUUGACCAAAAAAUGUUGAAUAAUAAUGUUAACGCAGGAAAGCUAUUGGUGUCAAUAAAGCUCUAUUUUUCUUCUAUUUUUGAUCCUCUCCUUUCUGACAGGACUAAUGAAAAAUGGAAUUCAAUUCCUAAUCUGCAAGGUGCAAUUAUUCUAAAAAUUAAGCAGAGAAUUUUUCACAUGUAGAUUAUUUGGUUUGCAUUAAAUUAAUCUUCAGUUUUAUCUACAUGACCAACAUUUCUCAUUUUUAGAGUUAGGGGUUGAAGUGUGGAUGUCUUGGUUGGCACUUAGUACCCCUUGUUAGUCACAUUAGUCCAGACAGUAGUUUUUUUCUGUUUAGCCUGGCACAGCUUUUGGAGCUAAAUAAAAUGUAAGCAAAUUCUCUAUUAUUUACAAGAUGUAAGGCCUUCACCAAUUCUCUUUUUUUCACACCCUUCUUUUCCUGAAUUCCUGAAAUUAUGUCUAGGGGUGUUUUCGAAUUAGCCAACUGCAUACCCCUGCCGACCGCAGUCUGCAGUAGAUACUGCAGACAGAGUACUGUGUUCGAUAGUAGUAUGCAGUAUGACUGCAGGUCGGCCGUUAUUAUGUAGUAUGCUUGGCCUGGUUAAGCUGGUUUGCGGUACGGAAAAGUACAUCAUACCCUGGUAAAUUGCAACAACACUACAGUGUUGCACAUUCAUUUAUGCACUAUGAAAAAUCUUGUAUGUGUUUUAAUUUGAUUUUUCUGGAUUUUUUAGCCCAAUACCAGCCAUCAAUAUGUGUUCUAUCCAUGCAAUGACUCGUUGAUCUGGCGGCAUUUGAUUCUCAUCACGGCACAGUAAACACAGCAAAGUUAUGUUGUCAGUUAUGUUGUCCUUGUUUCGCUUAAAUGAAAGAAGUUGCAAUCCUCUCUAAACGUGUUAAAUGAUGGCGUCCGUUCGGUGUGGUCUUAUUUCCCUUGUCCCGAUGGUUUGAUAACUACAGUAAGAACACUCUAAUACAAACUCCUGUCUCCUGUCAAUUUAUUUCAAAUUCCGUCCUGGCAGCUUAUUGAGUCAGACUGCUUAAACGUUUACUCACCUUUCUGCAUUAAAGCUUUAGACCCCCUUGUAAUGCCAGCUGCCUGUUCAGUUGUGUGGUGUAAACAUCGCCGAUGGCAUGCACUGUGUGUUGUAAAUAUCACGCGUACCAUACAGCCAAAAUUUAAGGCGAUGGAAAUAGAGGAUAAAAAUUGUCAGCAUCAUAACAAAACAUUGCAUUCUAGUCAGUGGUUUGCACACAUAAUGCUGAAAGAAGGAGGGGAAGACAGGCUGAAGAAAUCUUUUGGCUGCCCUCUUAGAAAAUGAAUGCUCCGGUGAAAAGUUUUGCCGCUCUCCGCUAUUCCACCGUCUGCUCAGGGGCUUUGCAUUGUGAGUAACAGUCGGCGAAGGAGACUGGUCCAAUGCAUACAGUGAAAUUUUCCCGAAUCAGUAUGUCAUCUGGGUAUUUUCGGCAUACUGCAAAUUUCGCAUUUGUUCGCCUACUGCAUACUGCACACUAAAUUUUGGGCUAAUCAGUAUGUACUGCUAGUAUAGUUGGCGAAUUCGAAAACAGCUUUGGUCUUUGGCAUGGUCUGUAUAAAAUAUUGUAUACAGUCUCAGUGACAUCACUACUAACUUUCUGAGGAGAUGUUCUGAGGUCCAAUGAUGACAGUUGCCAUAUUGAAAAUGCUGACACAACUCCACCUUAGGUCAUGCCUGUCAUUUUACACAGCCAGGCUUCUUUAUUAUGCAAAUCUAUGGCAUGACUCUUGGUUUUGAAUCUCAAACUGGAUGAUAUAAAAACAAUCACUCCUGGUACAGUAUGUUCAAAUAAAUCUGUGAGUUAUUUUGACCCAAACACGCUUCACUUUGCUGUAAGAGGAAAACAAGCAUUUGCUGCUGGACCUCUGACCAGCCCUGGAGUCACAUUAGGGUCAUCCUGGAGGCUUCAGAGGGUUUGCAAACCCUGGUACUCCUCUGAAAACUGGAUUCUCAUUACUUUACUGAACAAGUGAAAAUCCACUCUUAAGUCCAUCCAUACUGGAGUGUUUCUAUGAUGUUGUAUAUACAAAGGCUUUUCGAAAACAAACCAGAUAACAAGGUUGUAGCUGUAAGAAUUUUCUUGACCCUGUAAGCUAAUAAGAAGUGUCUGGAUACAUCAUCAAACACAUGCGCGCUAUGAAUCCCUCGCCUGCUUUUCUGUUAAAAAUGCUGCAUUUUGUGGCCCCUUAUGGAGAGGCUUUUAUUUGAAAUGAAACAGUCUUGACAACCAACACUGACUCUCAAGGAUUUUUCUGUCAGAAGUUGCUCUUUACAAACCAAUUUCUCCAAACACUAUUGUGUCAAAAUGCUUUGAAUAACCAAGGGAAAGGGUUGUUAAAAUCGUCUUUUGUAUAACCAGACUUUGAUUUCAGGAGCAUCACUAGUAGAGUAGAUAAUACAGUGAAAGGCAUCUUACAUAGAAAAACAGGGAUAUCUAUCUAUCUAUCUAUCUAUCUAUCUAUCUAUCUAUCUAUCUAUCUAUCUAUCUAUUUAUCUAUCUAUCUAUACAUAUACGUAUAAUCAAAUAGACUAUAACAACUUACUAUCUGGAUGAAAAAUUGGAGCUCAUAAGAAAUACCUAUUAGGAUAAAAAAAAAAAAGCGCUGCAGCAGAAACAGACUGAUUAUCUUGUAGAGGUAAACAUGUACCCCAGAGGUAGAUAGUGAAAGAGCAAUAUCAUCAGUGCAUCUGUUCACCUGUGUGUGUGUGUGUGUGUGUGUGUGUGUGUGUGUGUGUGUGUGUGUGUGUGUGUGUGUGUGUGUGUGUGUGAGAGAGAGAGAGAGAGAGAGAGAGAUACCCCACAUGUAUGAUGCCUGCCUGCAGUGCGGCCCCUCAGUCCCAGCCACAACUCCCAAAUUUUACUCCUAAAUGCUUCCCAAAAUACAACAUGCCUCUGGGGGAGUGUCACAGAGAGGCGAGAGAGGGAUGGAGGGAGAAAAGGGGAAGAGAAAAAGAGUAUUUUUACCCUUCAGGGGGGACUAUCAAGACUGAAACAAGGCUUGAGUAACAUUAUGGGAGGAGAAAAAAAGCUGGGCACUGGUGAUUAAAACGAGGUGAACAACUGCAGGGCAAUUUAGAUCUAUCUUGGCUCUGUUUUAAGUGGUACCUUACAGGCUCAUAUAUAUUCAUUUGGAGACAGUUAUUGAUGUUUUAAUAAUAGAACUGGCUGUAAAAGGGUAGCUAAUCAUUUAUAGACUUGUAAUGGCCUUAUUUUUUCAGUUAAGGCUAAUGUUUUUAAGCCUUGAGAAAAGCCUCUUAGAGAAGCAGAUGGGAUGUUUACAUCAACAUAUGGAUUUCUUUGAACAAUUUUCCAUGGAUCCGUGUACUUUUGGAUAAAAGUGAUGACAUAGUAAGGGUGGAUAUGUAGUUGGGCAACAGACGUGUGGAAAAGUACAGUCAUUCACCAAGACAGACAACAAACUAUGUUUAACAAAUGGUAAAUAAAAUCCAGAUGAGUGUGGUCAUGCAAAAACGUCAGAUAUCAAGAUUUUUUGGUUCUACGAUAAGAAGUGUUCUCAAGCCAAAGACAAGCACACAAGACUGCUCUGUAUGAGACCUACAUCAUAAUCAAAUAUCCAGAGAACUACAUCCCAUCAGAAGACUGCACCGGAAUACCAAGGUAAGGAUCACUUUGUGGUCUGGCUUGAUGUAGGAAAGUUAUUUGUUUAAUAAUAGUUGUGAUGUGAACAUGAAUUCUCCGUCUCUUAACCCUUAUUUCCCAUCCACAGAAAUAUUUAGGCCUUAUUGCAUACAAAAUGUCCAUCCAUUUGAAUUACUUAGAUGUAACAUAAACAGGCCAAUAAACUUGAUGUGCUGCAUAUAUGUCAGUCAAAUGUAAAUGAAACAAUUAAGAAUUACAUUUAUGUAAUAAUACCAAUAAACCCAAGGUGUUUAGAAUAAACAAUUAAGAUUUAUGUAUUCAUCAUUGAUACCCCCAAUUUGUUUCUGUCUCAAAAAUUUUAACUAAAUUAAUCUCGGUUGAUCCACAGCUCAUCAUAUUUAACUAUAUUCAUACAUUUUAACAGAUUAAACUGGACCGUUUUCAGAAUAAGAGAAUUAUGUCGAUUUUAAGAAAUUUUAAUGAAUAAAUUCUAAAAAAUGAAAUAAUUUAAAUACAAUUAAAUAGAUGUAAAUAGUUAAAAAUAAAGUAUGUUUUUUAAGUGCGACAAAUGUUUAUGUUAUUUGAAUUCUUAUUCUUUACACCAUGAGCUUUAGAGCAAUACAAUGGGCUCUAUUUUGGUGCCUCGCCAAAGACGUGCCGCAAGCGCAGCGUCAAUCAGAUCCGCCGCGCUGACAAGGCGUUCCCAAGCACAUUUUGGUAUUUUGGUGAGCCGCGCAGCCCGGCGUAAGUAUCCCCCCUCCCUAACUCAGCUCCUCCCGGCAGCAUAAGUCAUAGACGGGGAGGAGAGAGGGCGUGGAGUCGGUUUAACACAGUCGAGACCUGUUUUCACCAAUCACAUAAGCUCCUCUCCUUGCCUUUAAAUCCGCCACCGGCGAGGCGUAUUACUAUUUUCAUGAAGUAGUCAAAGAGAUCAAGAGAUGUCUGAAGACAGUUAUGCCACACGAUGGCGACAGAGGGCAGCUGCUCAACAAGUGUCCUCCACACUCUCUCAUCUGAGCACAGAUAGAUUUGGUGUGCGUAAUGUUGGACCCACUGGUAAGACAAACACCCUUUUCCACAAAAAAGACACUCACAUAAAGUUGCAUAUAUUCAAACCUCACGUGACAAAGGUGGGUUUAGCGCACAGAUCACAACAUAAACUCCAAAAAUGGCAUUAAAAUCGGAACCAUCUGUGCGUAAAUGACGCAUCGCGCUCCGUGGCCUGGCUCUUUCUUUCAUAGAUGUUGGCAUAUAAAAUAAAUUUGGCCCACAAAACUGAAUAUUAUAAUAUCCGUAUGUCGGCUUAAAGUAGAUAACGCAUCUGAGCACUGAAACAAAUCAGCUGUUCAGCCGCAGCAGCAAGCAAGACGGACAGAGGACACGGAGACGUGUCCAGGUCGAGCUGUGCGAGAAAUAAGAGGAAGAAAGAAAAGGGGGGAGACACAUUACAUAUCUUGUUAACUUCAUCAUGUGUGUUUAUUUACUAGAUAUUUAAUUUAAUUUGAUGCAGUUUCAGCUGUAUUGAUUCGGUCAGGUUGUGUGCCCAAACGCGUGCCAAACGCGCUCAUCAGAUCAGAUAUAGAUCAGAAUAUAUCGAUAUAGAUCUAAAUGUAUGUGCUGACUCAGAUUAAUAGUUGAUGAUCAUUAUUUAUUGCACUGAAAUCUGCCUGACACUGUGGAAACCUGCCGGUGAGGCAUCAGUGAGGUAUGUCGAUACGCCGCCGGUCUACCAAAAUACUACAAGACCAGCUGCGUUCCGCCUUGCGCUGAAAGCUGACCAGGUUUGAAUCGGCGAGCUUUCAGCGCACUUUACACGCCGGUGGCGAGCACGAAAAUGUCACUGCGCCAGCUGAUUCUGUCAACACCUCCCCCUGCCACGCCACCACGCCCAGCUUGGCGGAUCUCGGCUCGCCUCCGUGCGACUCAGUCCACGAAAAUACCAAACUCGCCUUACGCCGGGCUCCGCCAGACGAAAAUACAACUGCGCGGGGCUCGCCGCCCUCCGCCGCCUCACCGGCGCGAACGAAAAUAGAGCCCAAUAUGUUAUUUUUUCACAAUUGAUAGCAAUUGAGCAUCUGCCUGCGCCUGUGACUCUGCGACACAGCAGCAUGGUGUGUAUAGUUACAUUGUACAGUCAUGUUGAAUGUUCAUCCUUGUUCUUCUCAUCCUCUUCCAGUUCUGAAUGUCACAGCCCAGUUUGAGUCAAAGGAUAAGAGCAGCAACCUGAGCACUGUUGUUCUCAGGCAAAGGAAGCCAUUUUCUAAGGUCAGAGAUUGCAUGUCUGUUAAGUAACAAAAUAAAGAAAAGGGCAGCUGAGAGAGAAGAAGGAGGUAAGACAGCGAGAGUCACCAAAUUUUAAAACAAUUGAAACCGAAUGGGUUCUUACCUCACCUGAACAUGCCUUACAGGGAAAAGAGAAAUGCAAAAAUUAAAUCCUCUCUGCCUUACCUAAACUUACCUGGAAAAACAUAAAUACAGCAGAAGUUUAAAGCUCCAAACUUAGAAAAUAACCAUUGAAAUGAAAUCUACAAAAAUACAUACCUCAACUUAGUGCCUAAAACCCCAAGAAAACUUUAAAUGUCUCAUUUCACAGAGGUCAAGUUGUCUAAUAUUUCUUUCAUAUAUGUUAUUUUCAUCACUAGGUUGUCAUAUUACAUCUUGGUUCUCGUAAAAAUUAAGGAAGCAUUCGAGUUAAAAUGAGAUUUAAAUAAUUCCUUUGAGCAAGGUUUCUAAAUUUAAAUUCUCGGUACACACAAACGGCCGUUUUAAUGCUUGUAUCAGCUUUAAUUCACUGUUUCAAGCUUAGUUACUUGCUUGGUAAAACUAGAGUAAAUGAUCUGUAAUCUGCAUGAGACAGAAAGAACCAUAUCAAUAAAACUUUGGAUCUUAGUGUUUAGUAUAUGAUUGUGUUUCGGUGUUGAGUGAUCAACAGUUUUCUGCUUUUGCUCAGUUAAAUCUCAAUUUACUCUGAAAAAAGUGAAAGAUGAUUUACAAUACUGUGUGUAUGUGUGAUUUUACGAGUGGAUGUUGAUGUCUUUGGCCAGCUAUAAAGACAAUGGCACCGUUCAGGGCUUUUCUUGGCAGACUGACAGAAACACUGAUGGCAAGUGAUUGGAUAAACCAUGCCUGCAGGAAACCCACACGCAAACAAACACUCACAUAUGCGCACACAGGCGUAUACAAAAACACACACUUUUCUUUAUCCAUUCUCUAUAAUACUUCCCAGUUUCUCCCUGACCCUGAUCUUAUGCUUUCUCUCUGAUUGGGCACGUCACUCAUCCCUUUGCUGAUGCUUGAUUCUGAUUGGCUGACCGUAAAGGUCAUUUGUUUUAUAGCAGAGGGUCAGGGUUUGAAAUUGAGAUUGAUGACUGUUAAGGGCCAUACAGAGUGUGAGGCCAGUUUAUAAGUUACUAUGACUGGUGUGAUAUAUGGGGCCAUGGCUGACCAUACACACACACACAAACACACAAGUGAAAAUAAAUGAGUGUGCUUCUCAGACAAAUUGACUUAUUCCAGUUUCCACGCCUCCUACCAUGUUAUGGAUGUAUUGACAGAUGGAGAUUCCCAGUAUAUGUAUGUGUGGGAGCUUGUGAAUAUAGAUUUCUGGAUUACGUUGGCAUGUUUGUAUGAUUCUAUACAUGUGUGCAGGUAGAGAAAAAAAAGUUUAGGUCAAAAGUCAGAAAGAGAGUAAGAAAUAAAUGAAGGGUUAGCCUUGAUCCAUCGACCAAAGGCUGGUCUGUUCUUUAUAAUUCACACACAACACAUCAAACAUGCAUACAUGUCCACAGGAUUUCCUAAGCAUUAAACCCUAUUCCACUACAUUAGCUGAAAUGGUGGGGAAAAAAUGAAUCAAUGAGAAUGUGGUAGAGGGUUAAGAUGUCACUUCAAAUAAAACAUUCAUUAAAGCCAAAGUAACUUACUCCAAUGUUUCAAUUGUGAUGACUUUGCAAAAUGCCCAUACAAACUUUAAAGUCCUCUCAAGGAAAGGUGUCCAUCACUGCUUGGUCCCCACAGGUACCUAAAGACAAAUGUACAAACACACAUAUAUGUAUUUUUUAUUGCGAAAUAUCAAUCAAUCAUUGAAAGGAAGUACAGUUUUCCUGACUCCUUCCGAAACUUCUCUUCCUUCUCAUCUGGCCUUCACCCGUACUCAACAAGACAAAAUGGCCAUCUUCGGUUACCUCUCUGUCACACUUCUUGUCAUCAGUUCAAUAUCACUUUUGGAGGACCGAAACUAUGGAAUGAUCUGGAUGCAUCUCUAAAAUCAAUAUUAUCCUUCAAAACCUUUAAAAUAUAAUUGAAAUCUCAUCUAAUUAUGUCUUAAACACGUCAUUAUCUGUUAUGUUCAUGUUUCUUUCCUUUUUAUGUAUACCUAUAUUGUCUUUAUCUCAGGUUGAUGAUUAGUCUAUGUUUUAUUUAUGGCAAUUCGUAUAUGUUCCGACCUUUUCCUACUCAUUGUAUAUUUAUAACCUGUCUAUGUCCUAAUCACUUUGUUGUUUGCACCCUAUGCCUUCACUGCCCUGAUGGGAGUGGAACUCUGUCUAAGCCUAUCAGCUUCAUUCCCUCCUUGCACUGUUUUUAAGCUGUGCUACAUAAAUAAAAAAAUGAAAUAGAAAUAGAAAUGUCACCUGAAAAUUAAGUUGUUAAUAAGUUAAUAAGAACUCAUGUAAGCAUUUUAUUUGUGAGGACUUUGAAAAAUAUUCACGUGAAAAAGUGCUAACAGAGUCCUCAAGAAAAAGGUUAUCCAUAAAUAAUCGGUCCUCACAAGUACACUAAGACAAGCACACACACAAAAUACACACAUAUUCAAAAUGAGUGUCUUCAUAGUUAUAAUUCACAAAUACUGAUGCACACACUUUAGUCUCGAUGACUCCAUAAGAAAUGUGAGCAUUCACAAACAUGAAACUGCACCACUGACUGGUUCACACGACACGUUUACCAACUUAGGCUGCCACAGGCUUGUGCAUUAAGGUCUAUAACCCGGGAACAGUCAACAUUGGUAAGUCACUAAUUCAGAUUUGGGAAUCUUUACACCCCCAGUUGAUACACUGACAUAGUUGACCCAUUGAACACAGCCCUGUGCCAUCCUGGCCUCAGUUUUCAUCUCUUUCAUGCCACCUGUCAUUCCACACUGAAACAAUCCCUAGAGCACAGAUGCAGAUAUAAGCAGAUGCAUUAUUACAUGAUAUUUUAACAACAUUGUAUUAACAGAAGAACAAUUUUUAAGCAGGUUACUAUGCUUGUCAAAGGUAGAUUUGCUUGUCAUCGUGAUAUAAUUUGAUAUCAGUGUAUUGAAGCUAACAGAAGCUAGCUGCCUGACUCAGAUCUUUUAUGUGUAAUGGAUUUGGUUGCUCAUCUUUUUUUUUAUAAAACAGAUCUAAAUUUCAACCAACAUGAGCUUGAACAAGAAAAAAACAAGAAAUCUGUGAAAAAAAGGGAAAAAUGAAUAAAAAAAUCCAUAUCUAUUAUAACCUUAGUGUCAACGCAUAUAGUACGCAAACAGCAUGACUCAUGCCUACUGCUCUGUCAGUGAUGUAAACAAUCAUUGACACGUCCACACACACAUCACUUAUCAAGCUUAGAACCCCCAAUGAGUGACUGCUGCAGGCAAUGACAGCACAUACACUCUCUACACACACAUACACACGCUCACACAUUUUUAGACCCAGUAAUCUUUCAAGUCAAAUCCUUAUUAUUUACCAUGCGAAUUAUUACUCAGUAGGGCCCAAGGGUGUGCGUAUGUGUGUAGGUCCAUGCACGUGCCAAAAGUAUUAAUGUGUACUCUAAGCUUCCUAUCCAGAUUUGGAUGUGUGUUUUGGUGUAUAGUUGUGUGUGAGCAUUGUGGCAGCGUUUCACUUGGACAAAAACUAUGUUCAGCAGUAUCGUGCAGUUCGAUGUAAACACUCAUCAUCCACACCACAGUGACCUUUAAGCUGAAAAGCAAACAUGAAGGAGUGUCAGUCUUGCUCAGUGUAUUACGGGUGUACUGAAGUCAACGUAUACAUGCAAUGUAAUGCAUGAAUUUCAUUUGCUUGUGCGAAUGUUUUCAGAGAACGGACCCCACUGUUACUGGAGACCAACACUGUGAUUUCCAGAGUCAUCUUUUAUUAGUCUGUGAUUCCACUGAAAUAACUUUACAAGGCUGAUAGUUUAAAAAACUCUUCACCUUACACUGGUGCUCUAUGAAGACCCUGAAUGUAACCUGACACAAGCCAUUACAGCUGCUGCCUCUUAAAGCCUUUACGAAGCUUAUUGCAUCAUUUGAAAUUUUCUUGACAAACUUUGACCUACUUUAUUUUUUGCGAUUGCAAAAGUGAGGUAAUCGGAACUGUCCACACAUGUUGGAUCCCAAACUCAAACACAGGGAGAGUAUAUGGACAGCAGGGACACUGGCAGCAACAUCAACUGAAGCGCCUGUAAUUGGUUUAUUACAGCUAUUACCUGCUUACUGAGGGACAUAAAAGUGGAUCUCAUGCUUUGAUUACUAGUCUUAAAAAUUACUUAUCCAUACAAGCCUCAGUAUUAUUGGGUAUAGUAAAAUUUGGUGUACAAGCUGUACUUUUAGCACCUUUUCUUCAUCCAAAGAGUUGGCUGUGUCCUCUGCACUGUUGGACCAAAUACCAAAGUAUAAAAUGCUGAGAAAGUUCAAUGUGUUGCAUUUAUUUACCCUGAAAAUAGCACUAGAACAGCAAAAGUUUCGUCACUGACAUGCAGCAUCAUGACCACCAGAAUAAGUGCCACCAUAUACUGUGUAUUUAAAGCUUCUGCUUCACUGUGCGAAGCAUGCUGAGAGUGAUGGGCAAGUUUUUUUGUAAAAUAUUGGGCAUUAAGCUACAAGUUACUCUGUUAAAUUUAACGAUGCUACACCAGAGUUAUCCCUCCAAGAAAUCUUGUAAGCUAAAAUACAGCAACAUGGCAAAAGUAGCUCAAUCUAGCGUUUUUGUAUCUUGUAUUUAUUGAGUAUGAUUUCAUCUAAACAUUUUUAUACUGCCUAAUUUAGUUCAAAGUCGAUUAUUAGACCUGAUUAGCUGAUCAGCACGGCAGGCAGAAGAGCCCAAGCAUGUGUUUCAUCCACUAAUAGUGUGAAACAAAAAGAAAAAAAAGGGAAUUUCUGAUGGAAAAGUGCUGAAAUUUUUCUCAGUAGAGAGUACUCUUAUGCUAAGGGUUGGGUAUCGUUUGAUUUUGAACGAUACCUCAUUUCGAUUCCAGUUCCAAACGAUUCUCUAUUCUGAUUCUUUUAAAAAGCAGGAUAUUAAGGAAAAAAAACAAGCAUGGUUUAAAUGAGGAUGCUAACUGGAGUUCUUCUUUUUGGAUAAAAUUUCUGAUCUUCUCCAUGAAUUUUUAAAUUAUAUUCACUUUUUAAAGAACUUUACUUUGAAUCUCUCACAGGGCUAUUUUCAACCAGAAUAUAAGUAUCAAUUUUUGUUGUCAGGUCAUUUGUCUAUGAAAAAGUACAAGGGCUAACAUUAGUUGGAUAUUUAAGUUGACCCACCGUACAUGGCACAAUUUGUUCGCUGCUUCAAUGUUAGCAGAACACAAAAGUAAUUUAUUGUUUUACUAAUUUGAUUCUGGCUGGUUAGCAGAUAAAGCGCAUCAAAGACGGGCACUUAGGCAUUUCUCCUCCAUGAAUCCUGAGGUGUUUAAUCAUGUUGGGCGUUCACCCUCCUUUGCAUGAUAUAACUGUGUUGCUAAUGUUGCACUAAGAUAAGAGUUCAUUGUUCCUGCUGUGGCAAUGUCCUCGUUGGUGUUCGGCUACUUCUUCCAGUCGGCGGACUUGAAACUUGGAAUCAAAAUUUUAAAAUUUGAACGGUUCUGGGAGAAUUGGAAUGUUAGUCCCGGUUCCCAUCGAUGCCCAAGACUUGAUGCCCAACCCUACUUACGCUGAGAUGAGCGCUUGGAUCAGGGUCUCUUAAAACGAGCUAAAUGACAUGGUAGACUUGAACCUAUCUAAAGAAGACUAUAACCUUGCUUGCGUGCCGGCCCUCCCAGCACUUUCUCAUGAAAAAGGGCAGAGUUCACCAGCAUUCAGUGUGACCUGUACACUUACCAGAGACAUGUAACCCAUACAACCCCACUCUAAAAAUACUGGAUUAUCUCUUUAAAGACAAGUGCAACCCAGUUUUGCAGAAGAAUCUUGUGCAUUAUGAUGAUGAUGAUCAUAUCCUGCCACAUUUAUAUUCCUUGCACCAGAAGAAGUGUUGCACUUGCAGCUGCGGCAGCCUAUAGCUUUAGGGAGGAUGAAAGCCAGAUAUUAUUUUUUUCCUCCAUGUGGUUGUUUAUGUUCCUCUUGUUAAGCUCUGCAAUGCGCCUGUAAGUUGCAAGCAGGGGUUUGGUAAUCCUGUUCCCCCUCAAUCCCCUUUACCUCUUAUCUCUAUACUCCCCUCUGCUCUCUAACCUUCAUCCCCUUCUUCACCCUGCAUCCUUUUCUUUUUUCCUCAAGCCCUCCAUCUUUUUAUCCAGAUUGCCCUCCAGUCGCCCUGCUUCCACCAGCUCACUUUGUUUCUUUCCUUCUUUUCUUAUCCGACUCUCUGUUUCCAGUCAAUCUUCUCUUUGCUGAAUUUCACAUUCGUCCUACUUUCCCCCUUUUUUUAUUUCUAACAACCUACUCUGCCGCCAUCAGGCAUCAAGCACUAUCAUUGACUUUCGAAGGAUACUUGCUUUAAAAUGAUUAGCGGCACUUUUAUCUCUAAGCCUGUUUGGAGUUCCUAUUGCUGCACUACUAAUGGAAGCUCUAAGCUUUUUAGUUUUUAUUUCACUUGGUAAGGGCUAGUUUACAUAACGAUUUUUAUCAAUUAUACAAAGACUUAAAAAGUUUCGAAUAUCUCUCUUGUAGAACUCUCAUAUUCCAGGGAGGUUUGGAAAUAUUCAAAGCCAAAAACUUUUCAAACUGAACAAACCCUUAAAUCUGGAACAGUGAACAGCAUUUCAUGUGUCUUUUGGGAACUUUGUCUGAGGAUUCUGAGUAUUUAACAACCUUUAAAUUCAAAUGAAAACCGCUAAUUGUAUUUUUAAUGCAAUUAUAACCACUUUCACAAAACAUUUUGAAUGCAAAUUCUUCCUUGUGAUCAAAGUCAUUUUUCAUUCUUUGUGCUUCUUCUUUUUCAGAUCACCUUCGAGCUUGUUUAAAAUCAGUAAUACUCCCAUAUAUACUGUAUUCAACAGCUUAUGUGAUGUUGACAAGAGGUAACUAUUAAUGUGAGAAGGUGAUUUUUAGAUAAACAUAAGGUACUUGCGCUUUAGUUGAAGGAAGUGCUCAGUGCUCUCUUAACACCCCAAGUUACAUAAACCACCAUAUGGUCCUAAAUGUCCCCCAACACCCAAGCAUUAAGAUAAAUGGGAAAGAUGGGCGGCAAGAGCAUACACAUCAUUAGAGUUAUCAUGGGUUCAUUAGUAUUUCAUUUACUUGGGCCAAUGACUCCUUGGGGAGGCUUAACAGUUAGCUGUGGUGUCACUGAACCACCCCCCUUCAUGAUAGUGCUCACCCCCUGCCAAGAAAAGUACUCACCAAAAAUAGAGAAGACUGACAAUGAGCAAGAAAAUAGUGUGAUAAUGUUUUUUGUGGUAUUUUAUAGCUACAAUAAUUGUGAAAGUGAGAAUGUGAUAUUGUGGAAGCCCUCUUAUGGUCCCAAAUAGAGCUUGCAAUUCUCCAUUGCCCCUCCAGGACAUUGCGGUCAUAACUUGCCAGCCUGCACCUCAAGUCUUCAAAAGUGGUCUAGGUGGUAGAGCUUUCAGUUACCUGGGUUCUCUACUCUUGAAUCAACUACCAGUUGAGGUGCAAGGCCAGACACCCUCUCCACCUUAAAGAGGAGGCUCAAGACCUUCCUUUUUGAUAAAGCUCAUAAUUAGAACUGGUUCAGGCCUGGGCCAGCUUUUAGCUAUGCUGCUAGAGGUUUAGACUGCUGAGGGUACAGGUGCAUUGAGCACCUUUCUCUCCUUCUGCAUUUCUGAGUAUUUUUGCGUUCAAAUCUCUUUGAAACUCUGGCAGACCCAAACGGCAGCCUCAGAUUCAGUGAGAUUUCCUACGUAACAAAUUCAAGCUCCACCCCCGAGGCCCCGCUAUGCAAGUCAGGCUCGGAGAAAUAGAGAGGACAAUUGCGGAACAAGCAUGUGCGUUAGCGGAUUGCGAUGUUCGUAAGAAAGCUAAUUAUGUUAUUCUCUUUUAUCAUGCCCCUAAAGACAUAAGUGUCCGAGAGCUGAACAGCUCCUAUGCUACGUGCCACUUCUACUACACCAGCAACGACAGGCUGCAAGCUAGCGUGAAGAUGAGUGUGCAGAGCAGCGCUGUCUCCGCCCACGACUCAGAGGUGAAUUGCUAAUAAGCUACUGGAGCUCUGCAGAAGACAAGCGCUUGAAAAUGACACAAAUAUUGCGAUUGUGGCUAAAAACGUAAUAAUCACAAUUUAAAAACCACAGAUAAAGCUAAGUAGUAAAAAAAUUGAUCGGAGUGGGACUUUACCUUUUGGUCAACAAGUCCCACUAGAGUUGCUAAUACAGGCUUUUCUGGGAGUCCCUGUGCUCCGUCAUGCCGUAGGUUCCUUUGGAUCACUGCUGCAGACGUUUUGCUGCUGUGGACCUGCCUGCUUUCCAUCUUCUUCAACGACACGUGUCAGUCUCACCUUUGUCCAUAUCGCUCUUCCUGCAUCUUCCUCUAUCCCCUCUUUAAGCCUAAUUCAGUAGCAGCAGAUGACUGUCUUGCCCUGAAGGAACUUUUCCCUCUCCACUGUAACUUGAGAAAUGCUGCAAAGUUUUUCACUUCAUGUGGUUAAAGGUGGGGUAGGAGUGGGUCUGAUCUUACAAGAUGGGGCUCGAUCUUCUCCCAUCUUUAUAUUGGGUCUAAACAGAGUAUGGUCUAGACCAGCUUUUUUGCUAAGCGUCUUUAGAUAACGAUUGUGAAUUGGUGCUAUAUAAAUAAAGAUUGAUUGAAAUAUAGACAAGUGUGUAUUAAAACCCUCUCAGCCUGGUUAUGCUGGCGCUCCAUGAGGAAUUACCAGCAUGCGUGUUGUCUUUACUAAAGAGCAGCAGAGACAGGCACUGGUCUGAAUUCUUAGUGUUUCGAAUCUGCAUAUUUUUGUGUAUGUUUGAGUGUCAUUAAAGCUACACCAGAGGAGGUUGAAAUGGCGUGACUGCCAGAAUUACACAGAGCAUUUACUCAUUUAGCCCACUCCUACGUUCUUCUAAUCCCACAGUGUAGGUCUAUUGCUGCAUUUAGAGAAUAACACCAAUUUUCAAAAAGCAGGAAGGAUUACUCACCUUAUUUAACUUCCAUUUCCUCUUCUGAUGAUAAUUGAAUUGAUUGUAAUGUUUUUAAAUGUGGAGAGAGACUGCUGAAUAAUCUAUGAGUCAGAAAACAUGGAUUCAGUUAUUAUUUUGGGAUAUAACUCACAGUGGAAUAACAAAACAAAAGAUACUAAAUGGAUUGUCUGUGUUUUACUUUUGAAUGAAGGUAAAUAAAUGAAACAAAGCAGAAAGAAAAUGAGUUCGAGCUCACGGAUAAUGGAAGCUUUUUCCCAAAAGUGGCCAAAAGUUUUUUCAACAGGGAUGUCUGAACUUCAAAUUACUACCCUGAAAGACAUUUUGUGAGCAUUAGUCCGAUGUUUCAAAGGAAGUAAGUUUUGGGGGGUUCUUAUGAUGAAAAUUGGUCAAAAUUGAAGUAUGAUGCAAGAAAAGACAUUUAGUUGCCCCCAAUUAUUACAGCUCCAAAUUACUGAGUUUGUCUAUUUAAUAAGGUGAAAAGGAUUGGAAAAAAUGAAAAGGAGAAAAUAAGGUUGAAUUAUAUAUGAAAUUAGGGAAAUGCUCACAAAUAGGUAAACGAAAGGAGCAAAAGUUAAACUUAAAAAGUCAUUAUUUGAAAUUAAAGCAAUGAAAAUGAAAAGUCUGUUCCUUCAUCCAUCCAAGGUGUUAGUCUGAAUAAUCAUUGUACCCCAGGUUCGCUGACAAAAUGAGAAGAUUGAAAGGAAGUCAGGAAACAGAUGAAAAGAUUGAUGGCGAAGGGUGGGAAACAAUGAGAAGAGUGUGAGAUUUUUCAAUUAUCUAGGUGAGAUCAAUGGUGAGCUGUUUAUUGAUCACACACUCAAUAUGUUAAUCAAUACUGUCUGGGGUUUGACCUUAAACGUAGAGGUGCAGAAACAGAGAACAAACACACAAUAUGUAAAAACCUGACUCAAAGUGUCGUAUGUGAGCAAAUGAAUGGAUAUUUGGAAACAAAUAUACAAGCAGACACUUAAUUCAAUUCAAACUUGGGCUGUCACAUUAAUGAUAGUCAACUUUAUAGAAAAUGAGAUAUUGAUAAUGUGCUAAAAAUCAACAUACAGCACUACCAUGUAACUCAUUGGUUUAUAGUCGAUUCUUUGAGCCACCUGCCAUAAAAUGGAGCGAAAGCAAAGCCCCAGAAGAAGACCUAGUAAGCAGGCAGCUAGUUAAGCUUUACCGCAGUACAAACCAUGUCUAAGGAAAUGACAUGAAAGUGCAGUAUUGUGUCUGCACACAAAAAAGAAGUGUCUUCCCUAGAUUGGAUGUUUUUAGGAUUUCAUAGAAAAGGCUAGAUGUUUGUGGACAACACACAGUUCAUGGGUUUAUUUCAUUUUACAUUCAUACCUGCCUUCUGACUAAUCACCAAGCUGUGUUGAAUACUUGAUUCUGAUUGUCAAAACUUUUGCAACGCUAAUAACACUUGACCUCUGCCUGUUGACACUGGGACAAAAUUAUCAGCUUAUGGAAAUGUUCUUAAAUGGUGAACACUGUGACAAACUGUUUUGGACUUUGGUAAUAUGUGCAGUUAGCUUAAGAAGCUACUGAGGCAGAAAAGUGAAACAAGACUACUGCAAUCCAUGAGACUGCAGCAAAUCUGCAGAGGACAUAUCCAAGCUGCUGAUCACGUCAAAGAAACUUAACAAAAGCAACCUUGUUAAAUUUACUUAAUUUAUGUUUAAAUGUGUGUCAGCUUUAAAGCUCUGAUUGAGAACAGAAAUGUCAACAUAGAUUUCCUGUGGGUAUCCAGUUCCCCUUGUCUAACAUUGCCUUCAAUGAGAUGUUGGGUUUAAUAUGAUUUAUAACAAAUAAGCAGGCUGUUGCUUUGACUUGACCUUGAGUUGGAAAGCCAAUUUAAUGUUAAUUUAUCCCACAAGGUUGCUGAUAAGAGGCUGUUGCCAUGCAAGAGUUACAGGCUGUGGAAAUGAAAAGUAUUUUCUAGUUUUAAAGAUGAUAAAAAAAAAAAAUAGUAUUUUGUGUCAACUUGCUCAUGUGUUAAGGUUGUGGCUGUACGUUUGGCAGGAUAAUGUAUGGUAAACAUGUGGUUAUGCUAAUUUGAACCCAAUCAGGGUGGUGAGAUAAAACAGGCGGCGAUUUAUAAUAUAAUUGCCCUCACAGCGUCAAAUUAUAAUCCAGGUUUUAAUCUAAUUCAUCAUUGUUGGCAUUUGUAAACAUCUGUAGUAGUCUAUAUGUCCUUGUCUUUUUUGGUUUUAUCCAUGACAUUUUGUAUGUGGACAGUAAAGUUGUGAAAACCAAACCCUAUUUUUUAUGCUGCCUCUCGUCCACAUGUGUGUUUUAGUCAGUAACUGUGCAGUUUGUUAGUCACACAUUUUAAAAAUGAUGUGAUCACUCAAAGCAUGCAGAUGCUGCAUCUGGUCCUGUCCAUCUUAUCCAGUUUCAGUGUAAUAUAGACCACGUGCAAACAUUUGCAUCCUAUUUAGAUAAGUUGCAAACAUGGCAUCCGGUCUAAAUAUAUAGAAGGAAUCUACUCACAAUGAAACACAGUACCCAGAACAGAAGGACUAAAAGAUUUUGACUCAAAUGCACUUUCAAGAUUUCAGGUUGCCAUGCAUGGCUUCCCGUUAUAUGACAUUUUGACAGUUGCACUACAUCUUUGUUCCUCAUGUUGUGAAACACUGGCUGGUGCUGACAACCCCACAGAGAAUCGACACAACUCUGCAGCUCAGAACAGCUUUUAGUUCAUUGUUUUGUCAGACAAACCGUAACAAUGCCAGCUCAUUUCAAAUUACCAACAGCAGCUUCCAGCUUUACAAGCUCAUACAAGACCACUGUGCACUACCUUCCCAGAGCACAGUGGCAAAAAGCCAAUGCGAACAAGUGGCUGGUGACGAGAGUUGGACUUUCUGCCAGCCUAAAAGACCCAGAUAUUUGUUGUUGGGAGCUGGCAGACCGAACUACUGAACAUAAGUAAAUAACGGUCUCUAAUUGAACAGUUGAAAAGAAAUAAAGUGCCCUUGAUCAUCCCUCUGCAUGACAAAGAUUCUACAUUAAAAUUUGUGAAUUCACUUUUCAAAGACUUUCAUUUUUACAUUAUGCAUAGUUCAGUCUGAUUUGCCACACGAUGCAUCUUAUAACCCUCUGGUAAGAUUUAGCAAUGAGGAGGAGCACAGUGCAGCUCCGUCAAUGGCACAUACCUGCUGUGGCACGCACACUGAAGAGAUACAAACCAUAAUCUGCCAAUGAGCAAGUGAAAAAAUGCUGAAGGGAAAAACUGAAGGCCAAAUCCACCUUAUUUGACAAAAAGCCCUCGUCCAUUUAAAUGAUCAAUACAGCUUUUACCACAAGAGAGAUCACAAGGCUAAAGAGGUUGCUCAAGUUGCAUUUGGUUUACACCAGUUGCCUGAUUUAUAACUUUUCAUUGGUCAGAGGUAUGACCAGGUUAAGAUGAGCUGAUUCUUCACUUGAAAAUAAUCAUGCAUACAAAUACAGAAUCUGUUGUUAAGAACAUAGGUUUCUGUUUCAGAAGCUGUUUUUUUUAUUGUCCAUUAAGGUUUGGGUUAUAUUUAAGGUAACAGAUCUGAAAGAAAAUGAGUCUUUGGCUAUCCAAGAGCAGCAACCAUCGGAUAUGAUCUGUCAUUGAUGCUGCUUUGUGUUAAACCCUAUCAUUGAACCUCUAAGUAAUCAACCUUGUCUCUCAGCCUUUACUCCAAUGUCCAUCUUGUUUUGCCGGUCUAAGUCAAAAUAAUGGUGAGAACAAAAAUCAAAAGAAAGCAGUGGAUUAAAGUCUUAUAUUGCUUGUUCUAUUCUAGAAUAUUCCUUUUUUUAAGCCUCUAAAACUUGGCACCAUCUCCGGGGGCUGUAUCUUUGAAUGAUAGCCAAUUAGAUUCAAGACUGGGAUUUCCCCAGCUGUAACCAUAUCGAAUAAAUAUUGUUGAUGGGUUAGAGAUUUCAACAUUUCACUUUCUGUGACUUUUUUACUUUUGCCUUGGUGAAUAUUGAUUAAAACCACAGAACCAAAAAUGUUUUUUCUUGAAUCACACCACCUGUUGUGAUUUAACACAAUGAACAGGCUUGCUUAGCCUUCUUUCUCACAUACUAUGACCUACAUCAAGAAAAAAGGUGUUGGCACCAUUUGGUUCAUAGAUUUAAAAUUUGGAUAGAAGGAAACAAACCAGAGGUCGAAAGGCUGUAUGAUGGGCUUCUUAGGCCAGAUUUGGAGCCCAAUUCAUCACCCCUUAUUGCUGAUUUAAGGGUCAAUGUAAACAAUUGUUUGUCCAAAUAAUCCUGAAGUAUGUAGUGUCAAUACAACUCUUUUACCACUUCCAGCUAAGUGGGAGCGUUGCCAGUCUUGGAUGAUGGACAUGGGUUGCCACAACUUAAAUUCUUGUCCUUUAAUUGUCUCCCUCUGAUAUAAGACAACUACAUAAUGUAGCAACACAAAUCUUGUGUUAACAUGUCCAUUAGUGGAGAAGAAACCUGCACCGAUGUUUAAAAAGGGUUGAAAUAUAAGUGUGCAGGUCUCCAUUUAGGUCGAGAGUGUCAUAACUUAUGCAUGAAUGCGCGGACCUUGAGUAGUCAUCUACUGCAUGUAUCCAGUCUAUCAGGAAGUGUGCAUUAGGUAGUUUGGUAGAAACAAUUGCUCAAAACUUCUGACUAUUUCAGUUGAAAGUCUGUCUGCAGAGAACACUUAAAAACCUGAUUUUGUUUCUCAGCACUUCCUCAAGGGAACCAGCCUUUUUGCUGCUGUUACAGAUAGUUUUCAUUUGAAGCUUAUUUUCCUGAGAAUAUUUUAUGCUCCCACCUCAACACCAACA